rnacentral:rRNA from 1 species
ACCUACGGGGGGCAGCAGUGGGGGAUAUUGCACAAUGGGGGAAACCCUGAUGCAGCGAUGCCGCGUGAGCGAUGAAGUAUUUCGGUAUGUAAAGCUCUAUCAGCAGGGAAGAAAAUGACGGUACCUGACUAAGAAGCCCCGGCUAACUACGUGCCAGCAGCCGCGGUAAUACGUAGGGGGCAAGCGUUAUCCGGAUUUACUGGGUGUAAAGGGAGCGUAGACGGCAGUGCAAGUCUGAAGUGAAAGGCAAGGGCUCAACCCUCGGACUGCUCUUGGAACUGCGCGGCUGGAGUGCAGGAGGGGCG